GACGAACGCUGGCGGCGUGCUUAACACAUGCAAGUCGAACGGUAAGGCCCUUCGGGGUACACGAGUGGCGAACGGGUGAGUAACACGUGGGUGAUCUGCCCUGCACUUCGGGAUAAGCCUGGGAAACUGGGUCUAAUACCGGAUAGGACCACUGCCUGCAUGGGUGGUGGUGGAAAGCUUUUGCGGUGUGGGAUGGGCCCGCGGCCUAUCAGCUUGUUGGUGGGGUGAUGACCUACCAAGGCGACGACGGGUAGCCGGCCUGAGAGGGUGACCGGCCACACUGGGACUGAGAUACGGCCCAGACUCCAACGGGAGGCAGCAGUGGGGAAUAUUGCACAAUGGGCGCAAGCCUGAUGCAGCGACGCCGCGUGAGGGAUGACGGCCUUCGGGUUGUAAACCUCUUUCAGCACCGACGAAGCGCAAGUGACGGUAGGUGCAGAAGAAGGACCGGCCAACUACGUGCCAGCAGCCGCAGUAA
rnacentral:rRNA from 1 species